rnacentral:rRNA from 1 species
CCUACGGGUGGCAGCAGUGAGGAAUAUUGGUCAAUGGACGAGAGUCUGAACCAGCCAAGUAGCGUGAAGGAUGACUGCCCUAUGGGUUGUAAACUUCUUUUAUAAAGGAAUAAAACGAGGCACGUGUGCCUUUUUGCAUGUACUUUAUGAAUAAGGAUCGGCUAACUCCGUGCCAGCAGCCGCGGUAAUACGGAGGAUCCGAGCGUUAUCCGGAUUUAUUGGGUUUAAAGGGAGCGUAGAUGGGUUGUUAAGUCAGUUGUGAAAGUUUGCGGCUCAACCGUAAAAUUGCAAUUGAUACUGGCAGUCUUGAGUACAGUUGAGGUAGGCGGAAUUCGCGGUGUAGCGGUGAAAUGCGUAGAUAUCGCGAAGAACCCCGAUUGCGAAGGCAGCUUACUAAACUGUGACUGACAUUGAUGCUCGAAAGCGUGGGUAUCGAACAGGAUUAGAUACCCGGGUAGUC